UACAGAGGUCCCAAGCGUUGUUCGGAUUCAUUGGGCGUAAAGGGUGUGUAGGUGGCGCCGUAAGUCGGGUGUGAAAUCUCGGGGCUUAACUCCGAAACUGCAUUCGGUACUGCGGUGCUUGAGGACUGGAGAGGAGACUGGAAUUCAUGGUGUAGCAGUGAAAUGCGUAGAGAUCAUGAGGAAGACCAGUGGCGAAGGCGGGUCUCUGGACAGUUCCUGACACUGAGACACGAAGGCCAGGGGAGCAAACGGG
rnacentral:rRNA from 1 species